rnacentral:rRNA from 1 species
AUUGAACGCUGGCGGCAGGCUUAACACAUGCAAGUCGAGCGGAGAGAGGUAGCUUGCUACUGAUCUUAGCGGCGGACGGGUGAGUAAUGCUUAGGAAUCUGCCUAUUAGUGGGGGACAACAUUUCGAAAGGAAUGCUAAUACCGCAUACGUCCUACGGGAGAAAGCAGGGGAUCUUCGGACCUUGCGAUAAUAGAUGAGCCUAAGUCGGAUUAGCUAGAUGGUGGGGUAAAGGCCUACCAAGGCGACGAUCUGUAGCGGGUCGGAGAGGAUGAUCCGCCACACUGGGACUGCGACACGGCCCAGACUCCUACGGGAGGCAGCAGUGGGGAAUAUUGGACAAUGGGCGGAAGCCUGAUCCAGCCAUGCCGCGUGUGUGAAGAAGGCCUUAUGGUUGUAAAGCACUUUAAGCGAGGAGGAGGCUACUUUAGUUAAUACCUAGAGAUAGUGGACGUUACUCGCAGAAUAAGCACCGGCUAACUCUGUGCCAGCCGCCGCCGUAA